GGAGAAUCUUAGAUUUUCUUAAUCUUCUGUAGAAUAUAUAGCAAUGCAGCAACAAGGAUGUUGCUGCAAGUAAAAGCCGUGGCAUGGAUGUCACGUCUUUUAUGGUUACGGGAAUAUUAAUAUAAAUAUUUUUCAUAAAC
rnacentral:ncRNA from 1 species